CGCGGGAUGGAGCAGUGGUAGCUCGCCAGGCUCAUAACCUGGAGGUCAUCGGUUCGAAUCCGGUUCCCGCAACUA
rnacentral:tRNA from 1 species